rnacentral:hammerhead_ribozyme from 1 species
GCACUGCUGAGGAGUCCCAUAAUAGGACGAAACGGCCGUCCAGU